GAUAAACGCUGGCGGCGUGCUUAACACAUGCGAGUCGAACGAAGUUUUUCUUUCGGGAGGAACUUAGUGGCGGACGGGUGAGUAACGCGUGGGUAACCUGCCCUGUACAGGGGGACAACAGCUGGAAACGGCUGCUAAUACCGCAUAAGCCCUUAGCACUGCAUGGUGCAUAGGGAAAAGGAGCAAUCCGGUACAGGAUGGACCCGCGUCUGAUUAGCCAGUUGGCAGGGUAACGGCCUACCAAAGCGACGAUCAGUAGCCGAUCUGAGAGGAUGUACGGCCACAUUGGGACUGAGACACGGCCCAGACUCCUACGGGAGGCAGCAGUGGGGAAUAUUGCACAAUGGAGGAAACUCUGAUGCAGCGACGCCGCGUGAGUGAAGAAGUAUUUCGGUAUGUAAAGCUCUAUCAGCAGGAAAGAAAAUGACGGUACCUGACUAAGAAGCACCGGCUAAAUACGUG
rnacentral:rRNA from 1 species